rnacentral:lncRNA from 1 species
AGUCGCCGGAAUCACCGUGAAACCAGAGUCUCCAUCAAAAAUAUCGACAGAUCCUAUUUCAAUUUCGUUCUAGAUUUGUACCCUUGAGGGUCUGAGAAAUUAAGAUGCUUUUUCAAUGGGGAGCUAUGGUUCUUGUGGAGAAGAGAGAUUCCACCAUUGCAGUAUAGAUGAGAUGUGUGAGGAUCUGGGAAAAUUAGAA